rnacentral:rRNA from 1 species
UAGGGAAUAUUGGGCAAUGGAUGCAAGUCUGACCCAGCCAUGCCGCGUGGAGGAAGAAGGUCCUCUGGAUUGUAAACUCCUUUUGUCGGGGAAGAAUAGUUCUCUUGCGAGGGAAAGUGACGGUACCCGAUGAAUAAGCCACGGCUAACUACGUG